rnacentral:tRNA from 1 species
GAGGCCUUAGUUUAGUUAAAACAUUUGACUUGCAAUCAUAAAAUGCAAGAUAGAUUCUUGUAGGUCUUA